rnacentral:rRNA from 1 species
CUACGGGUGGCUGCAGUGGGGAAUAUUGCGCAAUGGGCGAAGGCCUGACGCAGCAACGCCGUGUGAGGGAUGAAGGCUUUCGGGUCGUAAACCUCUGUCGGAAGGGAAGAACGGGCAUUGGUCUAAUAGGCCUUUGUUUUGACGGUACCUUUAGAGGAAGCACCGGCUAACUCCGUGCCAGCAGCCGCGGUAAUACGGAGGGUGCAAGCGUUAUUCGGAAUUACUGGGCGUAAAGCGCACGUAGGCGGCCUUGUAAGUCAGGGGUGAAAUCCCACGGCUCAACCGGGGAACUGCCUUUGAAACUGGAGGGCUUGAAUCCUGGAGAGGGUGGCGGAAUUCCUGGUGUAGGAGUGAAAUCCGUAGAUAUCAGGAGGAACACCGGUGGCGAAGGCGGCCACCUGGACAGGCAUUGACGCUGAGGUGCGAAAGUGUGGGGAGCAAACAGGAUUAGAUACCCUCGUAGUC